rnacentral:lncRNA from 1 species
AUGUGAUUUAAGUGAUAAGAGGGAAGAUAAAGACAAGAGAAAAGGAUUGCAGUAGUUUAACAUUCAAAUAAAAAAGUAGACUUCAUUCAAAUAGGAUUAUAGUUAUUCAACAUUCAAAUAAAAAAGGAUUAUAGCUCCCAGAAUGAUCUCUGUGAUUAAUCCAAGCACCAAAUCACUUGAUUUCCAGUGCAAAAUCCCGUUCAACUUCUAAAAAACCCAAUAACGCACUGACUCCAACGCUUACCCGCUAUUACACUAAGAAAAGCAAAUCCAAUCAAUAGACUCACCUCUACAACCCCUAAAAUGCAAGCAACGACGAACAAAAAUGAUGCCUGAAAAAUCGCUCGGUUGCCGAAGGACCUCAUGGAUAAAAACCGAGCUUCAUGAGAGACAGAUAUUAAUUUUCCUUCAGCAUAAUCGACAGUGGUGAUUUCACCAGAGGUCGACACAUGAGACUAAAGCUUAUGGAGGAAAGGGAUGAGAUAUAGAACGAGAAGCGGAAAAAGACUGAAUUUAACAUGUUGAAGAAGAAGAGAUAAACAUAACCGUUUUGUGCAGGUCAACUUUAUUUUUCCACAUUGACACAAUUAUAUUUCCGUCACGUCCCAUUGAGCGAUUGUAACCACCUUCUCAGCUUCCAGCGUAGAAAAGUACUUAAUUGGUGAAAAAAAUUUUAAUUGAGAUGCAUAAUUAGUCUCUUAUAAAAUUAG